GUCAUUGUGGUGCAGUGGUAUGAGUGUUGGACUAGGAAUUUGGGAGACCAGGGUUCAAAUCCCUGCUCUGCCA